AGAGUUUGAUCAUGGCUCAGAGCGAACGCUGGCGGCAGGCCUAACACAUGCAAGUCGAGCGGCCGUAGCAAUACGGCAGCGGCAGACGGGAGAGUAACACGUGGGAACGCGCCCUUCGGUUCGGAAUAACUCAGGGAAACUUGGGCUAAUACCGGAUACGCCCUUACGGGGAAAGAUUUAUCGCCGAAGGAACGGCCCGCGUCCGAUUAGCUUGUUGGUGAGGUAAUGGCUCACCAAGGCGACGAUCGGUAGCUGGUCUGAGAGGAUGACCAGCCUCACUGGGACUGAGACCGGCCCAGCUCUCGGGAGGCAGCAGUGGGGAAUAUUGGACAAUGGGCGCAAGCCUGAUCCACCAUGCCGCGUGGGUGAUGAAGGCCCUAGGGUUGUAAAGCCCUUUCGCGGGGAAGAUAAUGACGGUACCCGCAGAAGAAGCCCCGGCUAACUUCGUGCCAGCAGCCGCGGUAAUACGAAGGGGCNNNCGUUGCUCGGAAUUACUGGCGUAAAGCGCACGUAGGCGGCUUCUUAAGUCGGUGGUGAAAUCCUGGAGCUCAACUCCAGACUGCCUUCGAUACUGGGAAGCUCGAGUCCGGGAGAGGUGAGUGGAACUCGAGUGUAGAGGUGAAAUUCGUAGAUAUUCGCAAGAACACCAGUGGCGAAGGCGGCUCCUGGCCCGGUACUGACGCUGAGGUGCGAAAGCGUGGGGAGCAAACAGGAUUAGAUACCCUAGUAGUCC
rnacentral:rRNA from 1 species